UUAUGGUCCUCCUGCUUCAGGCAUCUCAUCCAGCAGAAUUAUUGCUCUUAUAAAAGAGAUCUGAGAGAGAUCCUUUGCCUCCUUCUGCUAUGUAAGCUUGUAGCAAAAAGACAGCCAUCUAAGAAGUGGGACCUCACCAGAUACUAAAUCUGCUAGUACCUUCAUCUUUCCCCGGCUUCCAAUCUGUGAAAUAAAUUUCUGUUGCUUAUGAGCUCCCAGUUUAUAGUAUUUUGUUAUAACAGUCCAAACAGGCUAAGAUAGCACCCUUGUCAAAAAUGAAUUGUUUGGGUUUAUUUCUGGACUCUCAAUGCUGUUUUAUUGGUUGCUAUGUCAAUUCUUAUGCCAGUCUUUAAAAAUUUACUCUUUAUUUAAAGUGGUUAUGGGUUCAUCUUAACAAAAUCAUACAGGUAUGGAAUUCAAUUUCAGUUCACCGUUCCCCACUUUUCCCUCUUGUCCUCCCUCCUCUUCCCCUUCUCCUUCCUCUCUUCUGCUAGACUUCCUUUCAUUCAUUUAUUUAUUCAAUUUUGAUUGGUUCUUUUAACUUUUACAUAAAGAUGAAAUUACCUGUGGUAUAUUUAUAUAUGCACAUAAUAUGAUAUUUUAAUCACUCAUUCCACAUUGCCUCCCCUUUUCUUUUCCUCAACUUUGCCUCUUGAUCUCCUCCUUCUGCACUGCUAAUCUUCCCUAUAUCUUUUAUUUUAAGAAUUUAACCUUUAUUUUAUUUAUUUGUUUUUAUAUGGUGCUGAGGGUCGAACCCAGGACCUCACUUGUGCUAAGCAAGUACCUAAUUGCUGAGCUACAACCCUAACUCCUUCCCUAUAUCUUUAUGAUAUCCCAUCCUGUCCUUUCCUUUUCUUAAUUUACUCCAGCUUCCAUAUGUGAGAAAACAUUUGACCUUUGAGGUUUUUGAGUCUGGCUUAUUUCAUUUAGCAUGUUCUCCAUUUCCAUUCAUUUACCAGCAAAUACCAUAAUUUAAUUCUUCUUUAUGGCUGAGUAAAACUUCAUUGUGUAUAUAUACCACAAUUUCUAAUCUUUUUAUCUACUGACAGGCAUCUAGGUUGAUUCCAUAAUUUAGCUAUGCAAGUUGUGCUGUCAAAAACAUCGAGGUGGCUGUAUUGCUAUAAUAUGCUGAUUUUAGUUCUUUAGGGGAAAAUACUAAGGAAUGGGAUAGCUAUUUCAUAUGGUGGUUUCAUUCCUAGUUUUUGAGGAAUUUCCAUAUUGUUUUCUUCAGAGUGAUUGUACUAGUCUGCAGUCCCACCAACAGUGUACAAGUGUACCUUUCCCCCCAUAUUCUUGCCAGCAUUAUUGUUUGUAUUCUUGAUCAUUGCCAUUCUGACUAGAGUGAGAUGAAAUCUUUGUAUAAUUUUGAUUUGCAUUUCACUGAUUGCUAAAGAUGUUGAACAUUUUUUCCCUAUAUUUGUUGGGCAUUUGUGUUUCUUCAUUGGAGAAGUGUCACUUGAACUCUUUUGCCAUUUAUUGACUGGAUUUUUUUGGUAUUAAGUUUUUUGAUUUCUUUAUAUAUUCUGAGUUUUAA
rnacentral:lncRNA from 1 species